CAUUCCUUCCCAAUUCUUUCCCCCAUUCUUUCCCCAUUUUUUCCCAAUUCUUUUCCCCCCUUUCCCCACUCUUUUCCUACUUUCCCCAUUUUUUCCCCACUUCUUCCCCAUUUUUUCCCACUUCUUUCCCCAUUCUUUUCCCAUUCCUUCCCAAUUCUUUUCCCAUUCUUUUCCCCCCUUUCCCCAUUAUUUUCCCACUUUCCCCAAUUCUUUUCCCCAUUCUUUUCCCACUUUUCCCCAUUUUUUCCCCACUUUUCCCAUUCUUCCUCCAUUUUUUCUCCAUUUUUCCCCAUUCUUUUCCCAUUCUUUUCCCAUUUCUUCCCAAUUCUUUUCCCAUUCUUUUCCCACUUUUCCCCAUUCUUUUCCCAUUUCUUUCUCCAUUCUUUUCCCCAUUUUUUUCACUUUUCCCCAUUAUUUUCCCACUUUUCCCAUUCUUUCCCCAUUUUUCCCCACUUUUUCCCUAUUCUUUCCCAGUUCUAUUCCCGUUUUCCCACUUUUUCCCAUUUUUUCCUCAUUCUUUUCCCAUUCUUUUCCCAUUCCUUCCCCAUUCUUUUCCCAUUCUUUUCCCCCACUUUCCCCAAUUCUUUUCCCCAUUCUUUUCCCACUUUUCCCCGUUCUUUUCUUGUUUCCCACUUUUUCCCCAUUCUUUUCCCAUUUCUUUCCCCAUUCUUUUCCCCAUUUUUUUUCCCUUUUUCCCCAUUAUUUUCCCACUUUUCCCAUUCUUUCCCCAUUCUUCCCCCAUUCUUUCCCCGUUUUUCCCCACUUUUUCCCUAUUCUUUCCCAGUUCUUUCCCCAUUUUCCCAUUCCUUCCCCAUUCUUUUCCCAUUCUUUUCCCAUUCUUUUCCCCCCUUUCCCCAUUAUUUUCCCACUUUCCCCAAUUCUUUUCCCCAUUCUUUUCCCACUUUUCCCCAUUCUUUUCCCAUUUCCCACUUUUUCCCCAUUCUUUCCCCAUUCUUUUCCCACUUUUCCCCCAUUCUUUCCCAGUUCUAUUCCCCUUUUCCCACUUUUUCCCAUUCCUUUUACAUUCUGUCCCCAUUCUUUUCCCCCCUUUCCCAAUUCUUUCCCACAUUUUUUCCCAUUUUUUCCCAUUCUUUCCCCAUUCUUUUCCCACUUUUCCCUAUUUUUUCCCCAUUCCUUUCCCAUUCUUUCCCCUUUUUUUUCCCAUCAUUUUCCCACUCUUUCCCCACUUUUUCCCACUUUUUCCCAUUCUUUUCCCAUUCUUUCCCCACUCUUUUCCCCAUUUUCUCUCCAUUCUUUUCCCACUUUUCCCAUUCUUUCCCCAUUUUUCCCAAUCUCUCUGCAUUCCUUUCCCCCAUUCUUUCCCCUUUUUUUUCCCAUCAUUUUCCCACUUUUUCCCCAUUUUUUCCCACGUUUUUCCCACUUUUUUCCCAUUCUUUCCCCCACUCUUUUCCCCAUUUUUUCCCCAUUCUUUUCCCACUUUUCCCAUUCUUUCUCCAUUUUUCCCAUUCUCUCUGCCUUCCUUUCCCCCAUUCUUUCCCCAUUUUUUCCCACUUUUCCCUAUUUUUUCCCCAUUCCUUUCCCAUUCUUUCCCCUUUUUUUCCCAUCAUUUUCCCACUCUUUCCCCACUCUUUUCCCCAUUUUUUCUCCAUUCUUUUCCCACUUUUCCCAUUCUUUCUCCAUUUUUCCCAUUCUCUCUGCCUUCCUUUCCCCCAUUCUUUCCCCAUUUUUUCCCACUUUUCCCUAUUUUUUCCCCAUUCCUUUCCCAUUCUUUCCCCUUUUUUUUCCCAUCAUUUUCCCACUCUUUCCCCACUUUUUCCCACUUUUUCCCAUUCUUUUCCCAUUCUUUCCCCACUCUUUUCCCCAUUUUCUCUCCAUUCUUUUCCCACUUUUCCCAUUCUUUCCCCAUUUUUCCCAAUCUCUCUGCAUUCCUUUCCCCCAUUCUUUCCCCUUUUUUUUCCCAUCAUUUUCCCACUUUUUCCCCAUUUUUUCCCACGUUUUUCCCACUUUUUUCCCAUUCUUUCCCCCACUCUUUUCCCCAUUUUUUCCCCAUUCUUUUCCCACUUUUCCCAUUCUUUCUCCAUUUUUCCCAUUCUCUCUGCCUUCCUUUCCCCCAUUCUUUCCCCAUUUUUUCCCACUUUUCCCUAUUUUUUCCCCAUUCCUUUCCCAUUCUUUCCCCUUUUUUUUCCCAUCAUUUUCCCACUCUUUCCCCACUUUUUCCCACUUUUUCCCACUUUUUUCCCAUUCUUUCCCCCACUCUUUUCCCCAUUUUUUCCCCGUUCCUACCCCAAUUUUCCCCACUUUUCCCCCAUUAUUUCCCCAUUCCUUCCCCCCAUUUUUUCCCCAUUUUUCCCCAUUUUUUCCCCAUUUUCCCCCAUUUUCCCCU
ensembl:lncRNA